rnacentral:rRNA from 1 species
GAGGAAAGAGGGAGGCGUGCCUAAUACAUGCAAGUCGAGCGAACGGACGAGAAGCUUGCUUCUCUGAUGUUAGCGGCGGACGGGUGAGUAACACGUGGAUAACCUACCUAUAAGACUGGGAUAACUUCGGGAAACCGGAGCUAAUACCGGAUAAUAUUAUGAACCGCAUGGUUCAAAAGUGAAAGACGGUCUUGCUGUCACUUAUAGAUGGAUCCGCGCUGCAUUAGCUAGUUGGUAAGGUAACGGCUUACCAAGGCAACGAUGCAUAGCCGACCUGAGAGGGUGAUCGGCCACACUGGAACUGAGACACGGUCCAGACUCCUACGGGAGGCAGCAGUAGGGAAUCUUCCGCAAUGGGCGAAAGCCUGACGGAGCAACGCCGCGUGAGUGAUGAAGGUCUUCGGAUCGUAAAACUCUGUUAUUAGGGAAGAACAUAUGUGUAAGUAACUGUGCACAUCUUGACGGUACCUAAUCAGAAAGCCACGGCUAACUACGUG